GCCAUAUCCUGUUAACAAACGGUUCCCAUAUGAUCAACGGUUAAGCAUUGUUGAGUCUGGUCAGUACCUAGAUGGGUGACCACUUGGGAGUGCCAGAUGCUGCAAG